rnacentral:tRNA from 1 species
AGGGUUGUGGCUCAGUGGUAGAGCACUCAUCUCAUGCAUGAGGCAUUGGGUUCGAUCCUCAUCACUA